rnacentral:rRNA from 1 species
UUGAACGCUGGCGGCAUGCCUAACACAUGCAAGUCGAACGGCAGCACAGCAGUAGCAAUACUGUGGGUGGCGAGUGGCGGACGGGUGAGGAAUACGUCGGAAUCUGCCCAGUCGUGGGGAUAACUAGCCGAAAGGUUAGCUAAUACCGCAUACGACCGAGAGGUGAAAGCGGGGGACCGCAAGGCCUCGCGCGAUUGGAUGAGCCGACGUCGGAUUAGCUAGUUGGCGGGGUAAAGGCCCACCAAGGCGACGAUCCGUAGCUGGUCUGAGAGGAUGAUCAGCCACACUGGAACUGAGACACGGUCCAGACUCCUACGGAGGCAGCAGUGGGGAAUAUUGGACAAUGGGCGCAAGCCUGAUCCAGCAAUGCCGCGUGUGUGAAGAAGGCCUUCGGGUUGUAAAGCACUUUUAUCAGGAACGAAAAGCGUUGGAUUAAUACUCUGACGUGCUGACGGUACCUGAGGAAUAAGCACCGGCUAACUUCGUG